rnacentral:rRNA from 1 species
GUUUGAUCCUGGCUCAGGAUGAACGCUAGCGGGAGGCCUAACACAUGCAAGCCGAGCGGUAGAGAUCUUCGGAAUCUUGAGAGCGGCGUACGGGUGCGGAACACGUGUGCAACCUACCUUUAUCUGGAGGAUAGCCUUUCGAAAGGAAGAUUAAUACUCCAUAAUAUAUUGAUUGGCAUCAAUUGAUAUUGAAAGCUCCGGCGGAUAGAGAUGGGCACGCGCAAGAUUAGUUAGUUGGUGAGGUAACGGCUCACCAAGACGACGAUCUUUAGGGGCCUGAGAGGGUGAUCCCCCACACUGGUACUGAGACACGGACCAGACUCCUACGGGAGGCAGCAGUGAGGAAUAUUGGUCAAUGGGUGCAAGCCUGAACCAGCCAUCCCGCGUGAAGGACGACUGCCCUAUGGGUUGUAAACUUCUUUUGUAUAGGGAUAAACCUACCCUCGUGAGGGUAGCUGAAGGUACUAUACGAAUAAGCACCGGCUAACUCCGUG